rnacentral:rRNA from 1 species
UACGGAGGGUGCGAGCGUUGUCCGGAAUCAUUGGGCGUAAAGGGCGCGUAGGUGGCCCGGUCAGUCUUUGGUGAAAGCGCGGGGCUCAACCCUGCGUCGGCCAGGGAUACUGCCGCGGCUCGAGCACUGUAGAGGCAGGCGGAAUUCCGGGUGUAGCGGUGGAAUGCGUAGAGAUCCGGAGGAAGACCGGUGGCGAAGGCGGUCUGCUGGGCAGUUUCUGACACUGAGGCGCGACAGCGUGGGGAGCAAACAGG